GGGCGCGCACAGCUCGCGGCUGCCCUGCUCCGCUCUGCAGUUACCGGAAUCCACAGCUGCUGCCCCAGCCACACCAGAGUGGCUGCUCUGAUACAAUUUCCUAACGGGGACGCUGUUGGCAGAAGAUCUGGAAAACAAAAAUAAGGCUCUUUGCAUCGCCAGAGCAGCUGCCCUGGCGUGCUGCUCCCUCGGCAUCCUCGCGGGAAAUUCAAGGGUCUUCGAGAGGACCCUCCAAAUAAAAAGAUUUUCCCGUGUGGAUACCACACAAGCGACAACCAUGGAUUUGUGACCCCGGCAGCAGCUUGGGGUCCAGAUCUGUCUCUGCUGGCCUGCAACAGCACGAGUGUCUGCAAACUGGGAUGUACUGGAGCUGCUGCUCUGUGGUCUGAAAUGGUGAAACAUUCCUCAUUUUGUGAUCUCUCAGGGUUUUCCAAAAAAAAAAAAUGGAAAAGGUGCCUCAGUGAAUAAGGACACUGAAGUGCUCCAUGCACUGGGAAGGAGCAGGCAGCUGGCUCAGCUCCUCUCCAGUCCUGGCCCGAUCUGCUCGGUUCCUUUCCUGCCGUGUAUGACUCACUGGAGUCACAAGACCAAACUGCUCCUGAUUUCCUCGCAAAGGACGUUACAUCUUUAUUCAGGGUAAUUCUUCCUGAUUGUCCUUUAGGAGCAAGUUCAUGAUGAACCA